rnacentral:rRNA from 1 species
UAAACGAUGUCGACUUGGAGGUUGUGGCUUCCGGAGCUAACGCGUUAAGUCGACCGCCUGGGGAGUACGGCCGCAAGGUUAAACUCAAAUGAAUUGACGGGGGCCCGCACAAGCGGUGGGCAGUGGUUUAAUUCGAUGCAACGCGAAGAACUUACCUGGUCUUGACAUCCAGGUGCUGCAUGGCUGUCGUCAGCUCGUGUUGUGAAAUGUUGGGUUAAGUCCCGCAACGAGCGCAACCCUUAUCCUUUGUUGCAACUCAAAGGAGACUGCCAGUGAUAAACUGGAGGAAGGUGGGGAUGACGUCAAGUCAUCAUGGCCCUUACGACCAGGGCUACACACGUGCUACAAUGGCGCAUACAAAGAGAAGCGACCUCGCGAGAGCAAGCGGACCUCAUAAAGUGCGUCGUAGUCCGGAUUGGAGUCUGCAACUCGACUCCAUGAAGUCGGAAUCGCUAGUAAUCGUGGAUCAGAUGCCACGGUGAAUACGUUCCCGGGCCUUGUACACACCGCCCGUCACACCAUGGGAGUGGGUUGCAAAAGAAGUAGGUUACCACUUUGUGAUUCAUGACUGGGGUGAAGUCG